rnacentral:rRNA from 1 species
GAUGAACGCUGGCGGCGUGCCUAAUACAUGCAAGUCGAGCGAACAGAUGCUGCGCUUGCUCCUCUGACGUUAGCGGCGGACGGGUGUGAAACACGUGGAUCACCUACCUAUCUGACUGGGAUCACUUCGGGAAUCCGGAGCUAAUCCCGGAUAAUCUCUUGAACCGUAUGGUUCAUUAGUGAAAUUCGGCUUUUCUGUCUCUUCUCGAUGCUUCUGCGCCGCAUUAGCUAGUUGGUAAGGUCACGGGUUUGCACGGCUAGCAUGCGUAGCCGAGCUGAGAGGGCGAUCGACCACACGAGAACGGAGACACGGUCCAGACUCCUACGGGAGGCAGCAGUAGGGAAUCUGCCGCAAUGGGCGAAAGCCUGACGGAGCAGCGCCGCGUGAGAUAUGAAGGUCUUCGGAUCGUAAAACUGUGUUAUUAGGGAAGAACAAAUGUGUAAGUAACUAUGCACGUCGUGACGGUACCGAAUCAGAAAGCCACGGCUAACUACGUG